UACACAACAUUUGGAUUAAUAAAGAAAUUCCAUUCACGGAAGACGGGCAUCAUAGCAUGUUCCAAAUUAUCAAGACCACUCACUGCCACCACCACAAGCUCGUUAGACAGCUCAGCGACAACGCCACCACUUGGAAGAUUCCUUGUAAUUGCGCCAAAGUUUGAGGAUGGACAAUCUCAAUGCUAUACAAAGCUGGCCCUAAUCGACGCUGUGAAAUAUAAAAAUGAUGUCUCUUUGGAAAAUUGAAAUCGAACUUGACGAGACAAAACGAAACAUUGGAUAAAGCUCUGGCUCCAGGAAAUGCAGUUUCGGCAGUGACAGAGACUUCGAAAAGGUGCAAGAAGAAUUUAAGAAUAUGACGAAGAACAAAAGCCAAUGCAUCUAGCAAAAAGUAGGAAACAAUAAAAACUGGGUGAGGGGAUGAUGAGGAAAUGUGGUUUCAAAACGUUCCGAUGACCCUCCCGGCUGCUACGAUGAUAGGAAUAUUUGGUGACCAGGCCGUGACAUGAAGAGAGGCAACAUUCAUGACGUUUCAGUCGAAAAUUAGAAAUGCAGGAUUAUCGUACUGACGUUGUAAUUAAUGGCAACGAAUCUGCCGUAGCUCGCUUCGACAGAAAUACAUAAAUAGGUUAGCAGAGUCGAGUUUAAGAGGUCUAAGAAUACAACUAAUCUAAACUAACAAAAUUUUCUGUGUAACGGCCAAUUUGUGCUAAUACUAGUAAUUAAAUUUAGAGUAGAUAUAAAUAGAACAUGUUGAUGAUUUUAUUUUAAAUCCUAAAUUAUGUCAAUUUCUGUGUAACGGCCAAACUGUGUCAAUGCCAGUAAUUAAAAAACAAUAAAUUGUGAUUUAAUGAAUGUA